rnacentral:lncRNA from 1 species
UAAUCAUCUUCUCCGCUUCGCUAAUCGUCUUCUCCGGUGGCGGCGUUCAAAGGGACGGAGAAGCUCCACGAUUCCGCUGGAGAGGGAGAGGGAGAGAUAUUGGGGGAGAAGAGAAGAGGAUGAGCAUUUUACUGUGGAGAGAGAAAGAGAGAGAGAGAGGGAGAGAGAGCCUGGGAGAGAGAGGAGAAAAGAAAAGAAGAAAUGACAAAAGAGAGGAAAGAGAAAGUUCCGUUAACUUUUUAACCCAGCUAACAGUUGCUUUUCAUAUUAAAAGUGAAAUCAAUCUCCACCAUCCAUCUAUCUAGAUGGAUGGUGGAUGGCUUAAUAGCACAGGGGCUGCUGUGCUCUUAAGAGCACAGCAG